rnacentral:rRNA from 1 species
AUGGAGGCGACCGUGCUGAGCGUGGGCAAAUCCGUGGUGAUCGGAGCCCUUAACUGCGCCAAAUCUGCCGUCGCGGAGGAGGUGGCUUUGCAGCUCGGUGUCCAACGAGAUCAUGUGUUUAUCACAGAUGAGCUUGAGAUGAUGCAAGCUUUUCUGAUGGCAGCCCACGAGGAGGAAGAUGACAACAAGGUGAUCAAGACCUGGGUAAAGCAAGUCCGCGAUGUGGCCUACGACGUUGAGGACUGCCUCCAGGAUUUGGUGGUUCGUCUGGAGAAACUAUCAUGGUGGCGCUUACCGUUCAUGCUGCUAUACCGGCGUAGUGUGGCCAAACAGAUGAAGGAUCUUAGAGCCAAGGUGGAGGAUAUCAGCCAGAGAAAUGUGCGUUACCGUCUCAUCGUGGGCUCAGCUGCCUCAAAGAUAAAACCUACCACCGCUGCAGCUGAGCAGUCUGCCAUCAAAACAGAAGUACUACUUCACAUCUCUCAAGCUACACGAAGUGCGCUCCUGGAAAAGGAAAAGAAAAAGGUGGAUCUUGUCAAAUUGGUCAUGGAGGAUAAAAAUGACCUUAGGGUCAUCGCAGUGUGGGGAGCAAGCAGCAACGUUGGUGUCACAUCCAUCAUUAGGGCAGCCUAUGAUAACGCAUCUGUAAGAGGACAGUUUCAGUGCCGAGCCUGGGUAAGGAUGAUACAACCCUUCCAUCCAAAUGACUUUUUUGUGAGCAUGGUGAGGCAGUUUUAUGAGGGUUCAUGUGAAGAAAACGGAAAAUCAACAGAAGGUACAACAACAACAGGGCUCAAGGUUUUGGAGAAGAUGAAGGCACAGGACAAUCUGGUUCAUGAGUUUAAUCGGUAUGUGACUGACAAGAGUUAUCUGGUCGUUAUCAAUGACGUAGCUACCAUUGAAGAGUGGGACUGGAUCAAAACAUACUUCCCUAGCAAGAAAGGCAGCCGAAUUGUUGUAUCCACGCAGCACUUUGAAGUUGCUAGUCUCUGCACAGAGCAGCCUUACACGGCAACAGCGAUAGACCAGAAAUGGUCAUCCGAUAAGGACUUUUAUGUCUUCCACAAAAAGGUGGAUAGCAAGCCCGAGUCCGGCUCAAAAUCUGUCAUGGGUAGUGCUAGCUCAUCUGCAGCUGUAGGUGGUGAGGAUGAACAAGUACAGAAUCCUACUCGCGCCAGUACUGUGGCAGCUGCGUUGGAGGAAGAUCAGCUUAUCAACCGGCCAGCAGCAAAUGCUAAAGUUAUGAAAUUAGUUCAUCAAGGUCGUCGCGAGGUGAUCACCGUUUGUGGCAUGGGUGGUCUUGGGAAAACAACCCUUUUAACAAGUCUUUGGCAACAAGAACUUGGCAAAGGGUUUCAGAGGCGCGCCUGGUUAACCAUAUCGAGUUCUUUCAACAGUAAGGAGUUCCAUAGGGAUUUGCUCCAGCAAUUAGAUGAUGAUUGCCAAGAAGGGGAAGGAAAUGCUGACAUUCCAAAAAUGCCAAGUGAGUCAGUUGGCAACCAAGACAAUGAAGCGCAAAUGAUUCAAGAUCUGAUCAAGAUUUUAUGGGAGCAGAAAUGCCUCCUCGUUUUCGACGACGUGUCAUCCAUUGUGGACUGGCAGUUGAUAUUGCAGCUCUUGCCUACAUCCAGAAAUGUUGCCAAUCGGAUCAUUGUCACGACGAGAGAACUUAAUGUUGCUAAAUGUUGUUCUUUGGACGAAGAACAAAUAUACAAUCUGGAGUUGCUAGAUGACGCAGAGGCUCUUCUGCUAUUCGAAAAGAAGGUUAUUUUCCGUGCCACGGCCAUGAUCCGUUCAUGGUCGCUACUCACUCCGAUGGCGGCCAGGGAGCAUUUGGUUACUGGAUCUAUCCGCUGGGAGAUGGUAACUCGGGAUAUCUUCAACCGGUUUGGAUGGCGGUCAUGUAAUAGGAUAGGCAAUUAG